UUGUGUCUCUGUAUGGCUGGAAAAUCUCAAGAAUUGUGGGUUUCACCCACAAGAAUCUGACCGUUCUCUAUAUGAAUGCAUGUGUAUGAAACACUCAUGACAGCCAUACACCAGGACGGAAAGCCUGCGGCGAGAACUGCACCCUCCACGGCAGGUGCGAAAUUUAUUAUGUAUUUGUGUUCAUAUCUGCUUGUGGACAUUGGGUGCCACGGCAUGCAUGUGAACUCAGUCAGUUCUCUCCUUCUACCACGUGGUCCUGGGGAUCAAUCUCAGACCACCAGGCCUGGCGAGAAGCAACCUCACCACUGAGCCAUCCCGCCAGCCCUACCGCUUCCUAUAGGUUUUGCAUAUGUAUGUACGGGGCUACAUGCAUGUGUAAGUUUGGGUGAUUUUUUUUUUCGAGACAGGGUUUCUCUGUUUAGCCCUGGCUGUCCUGGAACUCACUUUGUAGACCAGGCUGGCCUCGAACUCAGCAAUCCGCCUGCCUCUGCCUCCCAAGUGCUGGGAUUAAAGGCGUGCGCCACCACACCCGGCUAUCUUGUGUUUUUUUAAGAUAGGGUCUUACACUGUACUCCACACUGGCCUUGAGCUUACGGUAAUUCUCCUGCCUCAGUCUCCUGAGAGCUGGGAUUACAGGCGUGAGGGCACCACGUUCAGAUUCUGGUUUAUUUUUUUUUAAAUGAACCAAGUUGAAGUUCCUUAAAAGAGGUUUUGCGGGGCUGGAGAGAUGGCUCAGCAGUUAAGAGCACACAUUUCUCUUCCAGGUGACCUGAGUUCAGUUUCCAGCACCCACAUCAGGAGCUCACAACUGCCUCUGACUUCUGCUCAGGAGAUCUGACACCUCCAGCCUUAGGAAGCAUCAGCACCACACACACUUAUACAUAAUUACAUUUUUUUUUCUUUUGGCCUUUCGAUACAGGGUUUCUCUGUGUAGCUCUGGCUGUCUCGGACAAAUGGUCUCAAGCUCAGAGAUCCACUUGACUUUGUCUCCCAAGUGCUGGCAUUAAAAAUGUGAGCCACCACACCCACCCAGCUUUUUAAAUAAAUCUUAAAAGUAAGGUGAGAGAAACUGAAGAAGACACCCAGUGUCGAACUUUGUAUCUCAUCCCUCUCUGCGCAAGCGCUCUUGUGUAUGCAUGAGCACAAACACACAUACACGUACAUACAGUCACACACACGCACCAAAGCAGCUAUUAUAACACAAAUGUAAGCAGGAUUCUAACAGGAGUAGGGCGGCUCAGGGAAAGGGGCUGUGCUGGCUAGCUUUACGUCAACUUAAGAGACCAUCAACUGGGAAAAUGCUUUCAUAAGAUCAGGCUGUAAGCAACCCUGUAGGACAUUUUCUUAAUUAACAAUGUGAUGGGGAAGGGCCUGGACUAUUGUGGGCGGGGCCAUCCUGUAUGGGCGGGGCCAUCCUGUAUGGGCGGGGCCAGCGCAGGGCUCCUGAUCCUGGGUUCUAUAAAAAACCAUGCAGGGCAAGUGAGCAGCACCCCUCCAUGGCCUCUGCAGCAGCCCCUCCAGGUUCCUGACCCAUCUUCCUUUGAUGAACAGUGAUGGAAGUAAGGAAAAUUAACCCUUUCCUCUCCGAGUUGCUUUUGGUCAGGGUGUUUCCUCACAGCACCCGUAACCCUAACUAAGAUGGGGUGGACACACACAGAGUGGCUUGCUUUUGCCUUUCUGAGAGUACCUGACUGACACCUGCUCUGGCCCAGGCACCCGACUCAAUGCUCGUGAUGCGAUGCAAGCCAGGUGGCUGAAACUCAGGGGACUCAGUCAUUCCCCUCGCUCGGGUCAGGCAGUGAUAACCGGGAGGGUUGGCAGCUGCCAGCUUCCCAGGAGGGUGACUCGCCAGGUAAGGUGGUUUAAAUGAGCAAUGUCUUCCUGAGGCUCAGACACUUAAACACUGGGUUUCUAAUGGGUGACACUGGAGAGGUUAUGGAGAGGGGCAGCCUUGGUGGAGGAAGUCUGUAUCUGUGUGUGUGUGUGGGGGGGUGGCUUUGAGAAGUGAAUGUCUCCCCCCACUUUCAGCUUCCUCUCUGCUCCCUGCCCCUCCACCAGACCUUCCCCACUAUUAUGGGCUCCCUCUCUGGAACCCUCAGCCCAAAUCAAUACUUCCUCCAUAAGCUGCUUCUGGUCCCGUGCAUUAUCACAGUAAGAGCAAAGAGAGCAGCUUGCAAUCUGCACCCUCUGGGUUUCACAAUGGGUCCUCAGUGUCUCCUGGUCCCUGGAACAGGCCCAAGCUUGGGAGGUGGGACUCAGGGUUGGUAUGCAGGGCCCAGCGCCGUCCCGGUUGAGAGACUAGAGAGAGGCUCACAGGGCAGGAGAAGUCACCUGAGAGUCACCUGAACAACGAAAGGGAUGGGGACUCACCAUCUGGUCAGCCAGCAACAGCACCGUCUUGAGGCUGAACUUCCGGGAACAGAAGUUGAAGAGGUCCUCCAGGCUGGGCCCCAGCAGCUCCAUGACCAUCACGUUAUAGUCUCCUUCAGCCCCGCACCACUUGAUGGACGGAAUCCCCACUGGGCCCGGGAGAGAGACUUGGUCAGAGGUGGUCACUCCCACGCAUGUUCUCCUGCUCGCCACCCGAACCACCAGCCCCCCCCCCCGACACCCCAGCCUUGGGCUCCUUCCUGUCCUUCAUUCAUCGUUCCCCCCCACCCCCAGCACCAUCCCUGCCUCACCUCCGCCCUGCAUCAUCUUGUAGAACUUGCUCUCGAUGUGGAGCUGGGGAUGCUUCGUCUUCACACAUUCGAGCUUGAUGGCUACUUCCUCACCAGAGGCAAUGUUGGCACCUGCCCGAGUCAGAGGAGUUUCUCACAGCUGGAAGCAAGAUGUUCUAACUCAGAAAUUACACACUCCAAGGCCUGGCUCUCAGCCUGGGGCCCUGGCUCCAGGAGUCACAAGAGAACCUGGGCACUGCACAUACCUGCAAUCCUAACAUGGAGGGAAUCGAAGCAAGAGAACUUCCUGAGUUCAAGGUCACCUAAGUUUACACAUGAAUUUCAGGCCAGCCUGGGCUACAUAAUGAUUUCUAGCCUAGGCUAUAGAGUGUGACACUGUUUGGAAGGGAGGAAGAGGAUGGGUCAGAAGUAGGUUCGUUGGUUGGUUUUUGGUUUUGUUUUGGUUUUGUUUUUUAUGAUUUAGUUAUUUCUAUCCUAUGCCCAUUAGUGAUUUGCCUGCUUGUUCCUGUUUGUGAGGAUGUCAGAUAUCCUAGAACUAAAGUCACAGACAGGUGCAAGCUGCCUUGUGGGUGCUGGGAACCGAACCCUGGUCCUUUGGAAGAACAGCCAGUGCUCUUAACUGGUGAGUCAUUGUAGAAGCUGAGAGAACUGUAGUUCCUAGAGGCUGUGUGGAGGAGAGGACAGGGUCGGGGAGGAGAGGGACAAAAGGCAAGCAGAGGCUGGAAGCAGGUCUGGAGUUGCAGCAGGCUGGGGGCCAGAGGCAGGAGCUGCUCUUGGAAGUGAUGGACGUUUGAGACUUAGCUGAGGAGAGGACGGUGUUGCAGUAAGGGCCACACAACUACACACUUGCUGAGUCCUCACCAUGUAGCCCAGGCUGGCCUGGAACUUGCUAACGUCCUGUCUCAGAUGGAGAUAAUUGGCCUCCACUCAUACGUCACACACC
ensembl:antisense